AAGCUCAACAUCCUUCUUUGAUCUUUCAGAUGAAGACAGUAAACUUGAAGGGGCCUACUUGUUCAAAUAUUGGCAGGUAGAAGCUGAAGCAGGUUACUGUGGAUGAGAAGCUGACAACAAAUUGGAGAAGGCAAAGAAGUUGCAUGCAGAGGCAUGUGUCCUCAAGUGAAUACAAAAUGGAGUGACAAAUGCUUUUGUCCAUAUCUUACUAAGGCCAACUUCCCCAUUCAUCAAAAGAAAGCCUUUAAGGUACAGGUUCCUGGCCUUGUUAUCAGGGUCUAUCACCUGAGGAAGCAUUUCCUGUGCCCCACCCUCCAUCAGAAGUGUGGUAUAGGAAAGAAGAGGAGAGACAAAAGCUAUGUUGAAACAGUCUACCUACGGGGGAAUCUGUGA
rnacentral:lncRNA from 1 species